UGUGUGGUGUGUGUUUGUGUGUGUGUGUGUGUGUGUGUGUGUGUGUGUGUGUGUGUGUGUGUGUGUGUGUGUGUGUGUGUGUGUGUGUGUGUGUGUGUGUUAAAACAACAAGUGUCUUUAUGUAAUCGUUAACUUUGCUUUGUCAUUACUUUUUGUAACGCCAUGGAAGACUAAUUAAAAAGGGAUAAUCUUUACACUCGGAUGCGGUGAAUACUAUUACUUUGUUUAUGACAUACAUGUUGGUAAUUGUUGCCUUUGUAGGAUGCUUAAUGUAUUUUAAGUGUUAACCCUCAACAUAUUUUCAAUAUUUUAUCUUUCUUUGGUUCAUAAGUACAACUUUAUUUCGAUCCACUAGUUUUACCGACUGUUUUAAAUGUGUCCCUUCCUGUCUGCUGCUGGGCCGUCGAUCUCUUCACCUCAUGAAGGAUUGACUGGGGAUUCAUUCAUUCAUUCAAUGGUUUUCCUGACCGUGUGGACAAGCACUACAGGCCAUACAAGUGCACUGUUUUCUCAUUCAUCUCCGACCGAGAGUGGCGAGGGGAGAGAGAGUUGGGGGAGAGAGAAAGUGGGAGAGAGUUUAGGAAAGCUGGGUUUCAAGGAUGAGCCUCUUUGAGGUUUACAGGGUCCAUAUUGAACGCCGGUUCAGCACGUGAUCAAUUUAUUAAUUAGCCAUGAGCCAAUUAAUCAAUUGAUCCUGUUGCCGCGACAGAGGAGCCUAUGAUCUGUCGCGGCAACAGGCUCAUGCUAAAUUAUUAAUUGGUUUUUGGCCACCUUUUUCAGUUUGCAAGGCGACAUCCAUCUCUGUGAAGUGAACCUGAUUGAAAAGCAAAUCCUUCGCUGAGUGACCAUCGCUCGUUGUGUUGGGGCAACGACCCUGUGUUGUGUUCACUUCUCACUGGUCAACGACUUAACACUCUCUGAAGCUCUCGAACAUGACUCAACCUUUGAAUGUAAAUUUAUACUGACAUUAAAUUCGGUUUUAAACGAA